UACGUAGGGGGCGAGCGUUGUCCGGAAUCAUUGGGCGUAAAGCGCGUGUAGGCGGCUCGAUAAGUCCGGUGUGAAACCUUGGGGCUCAACCCCAAGCCUGCACUGGAUACUGCCGAGCUAGAGUCCGGGAGGGGAGAGCGGAAUUCCUAGUGUAGCGGUGAAAUGCGCAGAUAUUAGGAAGAACACCGGUGGCGAAGGCGGCUCUCUGGAACGGUACUGACGGCUGAGACGCGAAAAGCGUGGGGAGCGAACG
rnacentral:rRNA from 1 species